GUCGAUCUCAUUUCUCCCUGGAAAUGUCGAUGUUGUAAAAAAUGUCGAUCUCACCUUUUUCUGAGGAUGUCGAGGAGAGUGGUGUGGAAUGUCGAUCCUGACCUUCUCUUUUGAAGGUUUCGAAUUCCUUGCCAAACGUCGAUGCCUAUCCCCUUUUCCUGGGAAUGUCGAACAUGCUUACCUGCGGAAUGUCGAACCUUUUUUCUGAAAUGUCGAUGGAUCUUCUUGAAAUGUCGAUGGCCUCUCGUUGGGUUUUGGGGGUCGAUCUCAUUUCUCCCUGGAAAUGUCGAUGUUGUCUAAAAAUGUCGAUCCCACCUUUUUCUGAGGAUGUCGAAGACUGCUGAUCCUUUUCUAAAGGUGUCGAAUUUUUGACAAGUCGAUCUCAUUUCUCCCUGGAAAUGUCGAUGUUGUAAAAAAUGUCGAUCCCACCUUUUUUCUGAGGAUGUCGAAGACUGCUGAUCCUUUUCUAAAGGUGUCGAAUUUUUGACAAGUCGAUCUCAUUUCUCCCUGGAAAUGUCGAUGUUGUAAAAAAUGUCGAUCUCACCUUUUUCUGAGGAUGUCGAGGAGAGUGGUGUGGAAUGUCGAUCCUGACCUUCUCUUUUGAAGGUUUCCAAUUCCUUGCCAAACGUCGAUGCCUAUCCCCUUUUCCUGGGAAUGCCGAACAUGCUUACCUGCGGAAUGUCGAACCUGACCUUCUCUUUUGAAGGUUUCGAAUUCCUUGCCAAAUGUCGACGCCUAUCCCCUUUUCCUGGGAAUGUCGAACAUGCUUACCUG
rnacentral:lncRNA from 1 species